CCUUCGAUAGCUCUGUUGGUAGAGCGGAGGACUGUAGAUCCUUAGGUCGCUGGUUCAACUCCGGCUCGAAGGA
rnacentral:tRNA from 1 species